UUUGUCAUUUUAGUCGGAGAUCUCUACUGAUAGACAUCGCCGGUGUAAACAUUCAAAUCAAUACCGCAAAUAGAAAAUGGUGUUCCACUUGAUGAUCGUGGGCCUGUGUCUUGUCUCCAUGGCAACAAACAUUUAUUGUGGUCGUAGGGAUGCCAAAAAGCCGCCCC
rnacentral:misc_RNA from 1 species